rnacentral:rRNA from 1 species
UACGAAGGGGGCUAGCGUUGUUCGGAAUUACUGGGCGUAAAGCGUAUGUAGGCGGGUCGGUAAGUCGGGGGUGAAAUCCCGAGGCUCAACCUCGGAACUGCCUUCGAUACUGGCGACCUUCGAGUCCGGGAGAGGUGAGUGGAACUCCGAGUGUAGAGGUGAAAUUCGUAGAUAUUCGGAAGAACACCAGUGGCGAAGGCGGCUCACUGGCCCGGUACUGACGCUGAGGUGCGAAAGCGUGGGGAGCAAACAGG